AACGGAAUAGCUGCCGAAACGCCUGUCAAAGAAGAGGCGUUUUUUCUUACUGCAAGCAUGUUUUAAGUUUCCAAAGGCAACAUUCGAUAUUGUUUUUAUAAAUAUACGAUACUUACACAAAUAAUCGUAAAUAACGAUACUUAGGUAAUAAUAGUACAAUGUUUUAUAUUUACAA